CACUUCAGGAGCCUUUUUGCAAGAGCCAGUCCUUGUACUCCCUGAACCACUUUUGUGUAUGCUCGCACUUUGAUGUAGAGGUCCCCUUUGUGGAACCUCCCAGCCAGGGAUCUCCAAGACCCAUAUAAGUAUUAGUUUUGAAAUUCUAAUGUAAGACCAGCCCGUGAAGUGGUUCAUGACUUCUUUUUGUUCUACAAGAAGAAGAGUAAACAGAGGUGCCAAGCUGCAUCCCUUCCAUCUGGCUACGUGCCCAGAGGAGUCUGCAAAACUGCUCUUGGGGAAGGGCUGUGGAAAGAACUGGUCGAGGAAUGUUCAGGAUCCUCCAAGUGUGCCCUGAUUUUCCUUUGUCCAGGAAUGGGAAGUGCUACCAACUAUGCAAGGCUCUUAAGGCUCCCAGUCCUUCCUGACAACUUCCAUCCUGGUAAAUGGGGCAUACUGGAAAACUGGACAGCUCCAGAGCGUAGGUGAGGAAACCAGGAACUGAGGGGUGUGUCUGGGACCAUUGAUGUCCUGUCUACAUCCCUGCAGAGCAUGUCUAACCACAUAAGUGCACAUUUUCCAAGAACAAGUUGCUCCAAGCAGUCCUGGUUUCAGACUGGGCACCAGAGAGGCCCUUGGCAGGGAGCUGGGAGCUACAGGAAUGAGCAGCACAGCAGGGGAGGGGGCACAGCAUCCCUGGUGGUGUGGGGUCCCGUGGCAGCUCCCAGCUGCUCCUGAGAGCAGCUGUAAGCUCUAAAGGCAUGAAAAAGAGACAGGUUUAACAGGUACAUGGACUUCUUGUCAGAUCUGAACAGAAACCUCUCCUCUGGCCUGAGCAAGGCUUUGUGUGUCCCAAUAUAUCUGUUUUCUCAGGCUGUUAUCAGCUGGUCUGAUAAAAGGUGUUACUCCUCCCUGCAUCUCUCACUUUGCUUUUACAGUAGCCCAGGAAGGACACCUGGGCCUCUCUAUAUUGCACCAUUGUAAAUGCACCAUAAAAACAAACACUUGCAUUUUUUAAAUGCAGUUUUCCUUUUAUAUUUCAGCUUUCCAUUUCUGGUCUGUUUGGUAUCUCCUGGUCUGUCCACACAUGGGCACUCUCAUUUGUGCAUGCACAAAUCAAUUAGCAUGCACCUUUUUCUGUGUACAGAAGCUUGUUCCUUGGGCAGUUGUACAUCACAGACUGGUGACACCUUCUAAUCUUAUUUUAGGAGCUGGUAGUAGGUUUUUUACACAUUGACCUCAAACCUGCACACACAAAAAAAUAUCUGCUCUUAAACUUUCAAGCCUUGUUUUUCACACUUCUCAGCAAGGGAGAAAGAUAAAGAACACUCAGACCUAAGAAUGUAUUUUAUGAUCAUUGAGAAAGCAAUAAAAUCUUCUGCUUCGAAGCUGAGAUACAUAAUCCAUGUGUAUCUGCCUGAGGCUGGUCCGAGCAGAGCUCCCACAAGGCUGAGAUGUGAUGGACACGAGGUGAUGGAUGCAGUGUCACAGGCUGUUUGGAGGUGGCAGCAUUCAUAUCCUGGCUAUUGGUAAGGGCUUGGAAGUUAUUACAUCCCCUGCUCAGUGGGGGAGAGAGAUAAGGAGCACUUUCAGCAAGGUCUAAAUACAUGGGGUGGUGAUAAAUGCAAAUCCCUCAAGCUCUGCACAACGGGGCUAAUGGGUCUUCAGCUUCGGCAGAAAGAGAGUCACAGCCUGGCUGACCUUGCCUAGGAGCACAAAAGACAAAAAGAUGAGAAACUGUAGGAAGCAGCAGCUGUGACUGAAAGAGGGAGAGGCGUUUGGGUUCCAGAAUCUCAGAGACAUGGCCACAGUGUCCAUGGGGGGGACAGGCCUGAUGGCAAUUUGGCCAAAAGCAUGCAGGUGGCGGGGUGCACAUUUGUCUUGGUGGAAAUCAAGGUUUUUGAGGGGUUUGUUGAAGCCAACCAACCACCAGCGCUCACUCUGCUUUGUGAUUCUCCAGGACUGAAGUCAGCCCUGGAUGUGCAUCGUGGCAGCCCUGGGGUGUUUACCUGCCCCUGCACUGGGGCUGCCUCUCCCUGGGGCUGUGAUUGCUCAGGCCACUGCCAGCAAACCUGCCGAGGUCACUGGGACCAGGGAGAAAGGCUCUUGGGACACAGAGGGACACUGAGAGUGCAGGAACUGACAGCCCUGGGUUCAGCCCUGUUGGGACCCCUCUUCACUGAGGUCUGAAUGCCUGCAAGUGUGCUGGUUAAAGAAACACACCUUUCCCUUGCCAUUCUUCAGCCUUGAGUGAUGCACAAUCAAAAAUAUUUGCUGAAGCUGCUUGUUAAUGAUGUUUACUGGAAGGCAUUUCCCACCGUGUCUUCCCAAAAAUGUGAUGCUGUCCCACAGGACACAGCACUGCUCUAAACUGCCAGGAAGUUAAGGCAAAAAUAUCACCUUUCCCAAGGUGCUAAAUGACUGGCAUGGACUUGCAUACCUAUUGCAUUCUGCUCCCCUCUCUGCCACAAUCAAUACCAGUCUGAUUUCUUUAUCAUGGCUGAUGGGGGGAUGGAGAUGAGCGAUCCUGCUCAUACCUCAGCUUUGGCAUUUUGAUUCCCAAACAGCCCAUUUGCUAGUAGCAUAAAAAUAAUGUAAAAACAAAUAGAUCAAAUAAAUGUAGCUUGAAGACAUCUCUAUUACAGCCCUGCUCUGUAUUCUAUAAGCAAAAUAUGUACUGUGCAUACAAGCACCGGGGGAAUGAAGGGAUGCAGGUAUUAACGCUGACACAUCAAGUGG